rnacentral:tRNA from 1 species
GCUCAGUUGGUAAGAGUGUGGCACUAACAACGCCAGGGUUGUGGGUUCUAUUCCCUC